GAAUUUUUGACAAUGGGCGAAAGCCUGAUCCAGCAAUGCCGCGUGCAGGAUGAAGGCCUCCGGGUUGUAAUCUGCUUCUGUACGGAACGAAAAGCUUUGGGUUAAUACCCUGGAGUCAUGACGGUACCGUAAGCAUAAGCACCGGCUAACUACCUGCCAGCCGCCGCGGUCAUACGUAGGGUGCAAGCGUCAAUCGGAAUUACUGGGCGUAAAGCGUGCGCAGGGGGGUGUGUAAGACAGAGGUGAAAUCCCCGGGCUCAACCUGGGAACUGCCUUUGUGACCGCAAGGCUAGAGUACGGCAGAGGGGGGUGGAAUUCCGCGUGUAGCAGUGAAAUGCGUAGAUAUGCGGAGGAACACCGAUGGCGAAGGCAACCCCCUGGGCCUGUACUGACGCUCAUGCACGAAAGCGUGGGGAGCAAACA
rnacentral:rRNA from 1 species